rnacentral:rRNA from 1 species
CGAAGGGGGCUAGCGUUGUUCGGAAUUACUGGGCGUAAAGCGCGCGCAGGCGGUCUUCCAAGUCAGUGGUGAAAGCCCGGAGCUCAACUCCGGAACUGCCAUUGAAACUGUUGGACUUGAGGAUGAGAGAGGUGAGUGGAAUUCCCAGUGUAGAGGUGAAAUUCGUAGAUAUUGGGAAGAACACCGGUGGCGAAGGCGGCUCACUGGCUCAUUACUGACGCUCAGGCGCGACAGCGUGGGGAUCAAACAGGAUUAGAUACCCUGGUAGUCCACGCCGUAAACGAUGAAUGCUAGCCGUUGGGCAACUUGCUGUUCAGUGGCGCAGCUAACGCAUUAAGCAUUCCGCCUGGGGAGUACGGCCGCAAGGUUG